GACGAACGCUGGCGGCGUGCUUAACACAUGCAAGUCGAACGGUAAGGCCCUUCGGGGUACACGAGUGGCGAACGGGUGAGUAACACGUGGGUGAUCUGCCCUGCACUUCGGGAUAAGCCUGGGAAACUGGGUCUAAUACCGGAUAGGACUCCGGACUGCAUGGUCUGGGGUGGAAAGCUUUUGCGGUGUGGGAUGGGCCCGCGGCCUAUGAGCUUGUUGGUGGGGUGAUGGCCUACCAAGGCGACGACGGGUAGCCGGCCUGAGAGGGUGACCGGCCACACUGGGACUGAGAUACGGCCCAGACUCCUACGGGAGGCAGCAGUGGGGAAUAUUGCACAAUGGGCGCAAGCCUGAUGCAGCGACGCCGCGUGAGGGAUGACGGCCUUCGGGUUGUAAACCUCUUUCAGCAUCGACGAAGCGAAAGUGACGGUAGGUGCAGAAGAAGGACCGGCCAACUACGUGCCAGCAGCCGCAGUAAGAC
rnacentral:rRNA from 1 species